CGACCAACCUUGCACAGGGGGAUAACGGACCGAAAGGUUCACUAAUACCGCAUGAGACCACAGUGUUGCAUGACACAGGGGGUCAAAGGGAGCAAUCCGGUGCAAGACGGGGCUCGCGUCCCGAUUAGGUAGUUGGUGGGGUAACGGCCCACCAAGCCUAUGAUCGGUAGCCGACCUGAGAGGGUGAUCGGCCACAUUGGAACUGAGAUACGGUCCAAACUCCUACGGGAGGCAGCAGUGGGGAAUAUUGGGCAAUGGGGGGAAAAAACCCCCUGACCCAGCAACGCCGCGUGAGUGAAGAAGGUCUUCGGAUUGUAAAGCUCUUUGAUUGGGGACGAAGAAAGUGACGGUACCCAAAGAACAAGCCCCGGCUAACUACGUGCCAGCAGCAGC
rnacentral:rRNA from 1 species